rnacentral:rRNA from 1 species
AUUGAACGCUGGCGGCAUGCUUAAUACAUGCAAGUCGAACGGAAACAGGCCGCAAUUUGCUGACGAGUGGUGGACGGGUGAGUAAUGCUACGGAAUGGGCCCAGUCGUUGUGGGUAUCUACUCACAAGAGUAGCUAAUACCGCAUACGAUCUAUUGUUUUAAACGGGGGACCUCAAUGCCUCGCGCCAUUUUUGCUGUCGAUGUCAGAUUAGCUAGUUGGUCAGGUAAAGGCUCACCAAGUCAACGAUCUGUAGCUGGUCUGAGAGUACGACCAGCCACACUGGAACUGAGACACGGCCCAGACUCCUACGGGAGGCAGCAGUGGGGAAUUUUCGGCAAUGGGCGCAAGCCUGAUGCAGCAAUGCCGCGUGCAGGAAGAAGGCCUUCGGGUUGUAAAAUGCUUUUGUACGGAAAGAAACGGUGCUGAUUAAUACACGGAGGUAAUGACGGUACCGAAAGAAAAAGCACCGGCUAACUACGUG